AUCCAAAAAAGAAUUUAAGUUCAACUUUAAGUCCUAUUACAAUGCCUAUUCAAAGCACACAAUAAGCUUAAAAGUUAGUCAAAGAAGGGACAACUUCUUUGACCAAGUAUACAAACUACAUUAGAGGGUAAUAAUUAAUAAUCCACAUCGUUGGCUUAAAAGCAGCCAUCAACUAAGAAAGCGUUAAAGCUCAAACUCACAUUCCAAUUUAAUACCAUAAAAAAACUAAAACCCCUAAAAUACUAUUGGAUGAUUCUAUGUUAUUAUAGAAUACAUAAUGCUAAAAUUAGUAAUAAGAACCCCGUUCUCCUCGCACAAGCCUAAGUUAGAAUAACGGAUAUCCCACUAAUAGUUAACAAAAACAUAAUAACAUUCAUCAACCAGCCUCUUAUACAAAAUUUUGUUAAUCCAACACAGGUGUGCAUUAAAGGAAAGAUAUAAAAGAACAAAAGGAACUCGGCAAACAUGAACCCCGCCUGUUUACCAAAAACAUCACCUCUAGCAUUACAAGUAUUAGAGGCACUGCCUGCCCAGUGAAUAAACUUUUAACGGCCGCGGUAUCCUGACCGUGCAAAGGUAGCAUAAUCACUUGUCUCCUAAAUAGGGACUUGUAUGAAUGGCAUAACGAGGGUUCAACUGUCUCUUUUUCUUAAUCAAUGAAAUUGACCUACCCGUGCAGAGGCGGGUAUAUUAAUAUAAGACGAGAAGACCCUGUGGAGCUUAAGAUUAAUAACUUAAAUAAAACUAGUACAAACCCUAGGGAAUAACAUUAUUAUUAUUAAGUUAUAUUCUUUGGUUGGGGUGACCUCGGAGAACAAAAAAACCUCCGAAUGACAUAACCUAGAUUAACUAAUCCAAGUGCACAAAAGCCAGUAAUUGACCCAAAUAUUGAUCAACGGAACAAGUUACCCCAGGGAUAACAGCGCAAUCCUAUUUAAGAGCCCAUAUCGAAAAUCUAGGGUUUACGACCUCGAUGUUGGAUCAGGACAUCCUAAUGGUGCAACCGCUAUUAAAGGUUCGUUUGUUCAACGAUUAAAG
rnacentral:rRNA from 1 species